rnacentral:rRNA from 1 species
AGGGGUUUGCGUCUGAUUAGCUGGUUGGAGGGUAACGGCCCAACAAGGCGACGAUCAGUAGCCGGUCUGAGAGGAUGAACGGCCACAUUGGGACUGAGACACGGCCCAGACUCCUACGGGAGGCAGCAGUGGGGAAUCUUCCGCAAUGGACGAAAGUCUGACGGAGCAACGCCGCGUGAGUGAAGAAGGUCUUCGGAUUGUAAAGCUCUGUUAUACGGGACGAAAAAGACGGAUGCCAACAGUAUCCGUCCGUGACGGUACCGUAAGAGAAAGCCACGGCUAACUACGUGCCAGCAGCCGCGGUAU